rnacentral:sRNA from 1 species
ACCCCGGGAUAAGUUUCCCAGAAAAAAUGCCCAGCGCGGCGCGGGGCUGCGGAGUCGUCCGGAGCCGCUGCGCGUGUUUUCAAAGUUAGGAAGAUUCACAAAAGGAAGUCCUGUUUUAAAAAGAACGUAUCAGAGUUUUACCCUCUAUGGGCUGGGUCCCUUGAAUGAGGGUGAAUUGUCCAGAUCAGUGUCCCCUGAAAGAUAAGUGUGUACAUUCUGCCAAACGUCCAGGAUCGAAACAAGCCAAGGGCCCCAUGCUGGGAAGAACGCCACAGACCAGGCAGGCAAAUGGAUGUCCCUGACUAGCGGGAGCUGCGCUGAAUCAGGGAGAAGACAGAAGUUCCCAAGCAAGACUGAGGCUGAAGUUCCGACACAGCAUGGUCAAAGGAGUUCCUCGAGAUGAUGUGUCCUUAUGCAGAACCCAGAGGUCCAUGGGGGCUGAAUGAGUUUAUGGAAUGAAGCCCUGUUGUAUAGCUCUAAGCAGGCAGUGUUGCGGAGACUUCAGUACAAUGUGACAGGAGGUCUGAUGAGAAAAGGAAAAUCUCUAGACCCUGAGUCCCCAUAUGGGACCCAAUCCUAAGGGACCCUGAACUCUCCACCACUUGAAAAUAACAGGUGGGUUAC